CUUUCCUUUUUCUUUUUCUUCUAUACUAUUCUGAUCUUCUCUGCACCCUCGAACCUGCCAUUUUUUUUUUCCUUUUCUUGCUUCUUUCUUCCUGCCCCCUUUAUAGCUCAUCAGAACACUCCAUCCUCCCCACCUCUCUUCUCCUCUGGUACCCUAGCCUCCCGCCUCUGAUCGCACGUAUGCCUUCUGCUCUUCCUACCCCUCUCUUUCUUCUGCCAACAACCCACCGAAGCCUGCAGCCACCUUCCCCACAUGUAACCCUUCCUCACUUGCUCCUACUGCAACCCACCCGACUUGUCAACAUCUUGACCUUCUCCUCUGCGUCUUCUGCUCCUUCCUUUUCUCGGCGAUAGUAGCAAAAAAAAAAAACCGAGCCACCCACCUGCUGACCCGAUUUUCUCCUCUUUUUCUUCUUCUUCUUCCUACUCGGCGGCUACGGAAGACACGCUUCCCUGCCAUCCUCCGUAACUCUUAGCUCACUUCGACUCUCUCCUCGGCUCGAUCUAGUCACGCCCUCAGCACACACUCUUCCCCCCAGCUCACACAGAAACCCUCAGCUCAACCGGCACCCACUCAGCAACCUCGGCUCCUCUACAGCACCCUCACCACGCAACUCCCUCAGCCUCCACUCUCACACACGACCCCUAGCUCGCCAUCCUUUCUGCUCCCAUAGCCCACACCGCCUCAUAACUCCCCCAGUUCAUUCGGACAUCCCUCAUCUCGCCCUCGUAGCAGACCAGUCGAACCGACCCGUACUCGCCCUCCUCUUCAACUCUCUAUUGGGUCUCUGAGAGCUCCUCCGAGCCGUGAGCCGCCUCGUGCCGACUGCCAGAAGCCUCUCAGGAGCAGGGUGCCGCCACACUUAUCACCGCAAUCGCCCUCUAACUCUCCUCUCUCAUUCGGGUUUCAUCUUACUCUCACGGGUCUUCUCUUGCAUUCUUGGGUCAUUUCAGGUUGGAGACGUCUCGAGCCAUUUGCGGCCACCUCGAAGAGCCCCUGACCGCCUGGAAUCGCUGUGUCUAGCCGCUGUCUCAUGCCCAGCAGUCCACUCCAGUCCAGCUCGCCUCCCGGACACGUUUUCCUCUAGUCGAGUCUGCCAGACCCGACCGGGUGCCUGAAUCGAUCCGUCUAACCCGAUCGCCAGAUCUUCCUCUCCCCGAAGCUAGUUCGAGUCCUAACCCAUAGGAUACGAUGCACAUGGAGUCCAACGCCCAUUCACACCGAGUGCAAGCAACUCGAGUGUGGAAUCACGUCUUGCCUCGACUUGGAUCAGGUAGGUAAGGCGUGGCCGAACAUAACUCGGAAGCUCAAUCGAUCCCAUGGCUAUCACGAGAGUCAAACGACUCUAUCCGUCGGUUCGAUUGGACUCGAUCCCUGUCUCUUUGAACUCGCGUUGCCUUAAUUUCGAAUUUGGUUAUUCAAAAUCACGCGGUAAGCACGAGUGGAAUAUUUGGUCUAAUGUAUACUGAUUGGGUUCAUGUAUUGUAUCGCGUCUGUAUUUUGUUUGUAUUUGAGAGCACGUUGUAAUGACAUUUUUUGUAUUUUCAUUCAGUCGUAGUAAGGAUCUCGGUCAGUGAGCAGAAGGUCUGAGUGUUUCAUCGAAGUUACGGUGUCAAUACGGGUGAAAAGUGUACAACCUAAUUCACGCUGUAAAUGAAAUAAAAUGACAAGACUUAGACAAA